rnacentral:rRNA from 1 species
UACGUAGGGCGCAAGCGUUAUCCGGAAUUAUUGGGCGUAAAGAGCUCGUUAGGCGGUUUGUCGCGUCUGCCGUGAAAGUCCGGGGCUCAACUCCGGAUCUGCGGUGGGUACGGGCAGACUAGAGUGAUGUAGGGGAGACUGGAAUUCCUGGUGUAGCGGUGAAAUGCGCAGAUAUCAGGAGGAACACCGAUGGCGAAGGCAGGUCUCUGGGCAUUAACUGACGCUGAGGAGCGAAAGCAUGGGGAGCGAACAGG